AGAGUUUUGAUCCUGGCUCAGGAUGAACGCUGACAGAAUGCUUAACACAUGCAAGUCUACUUGAAUUUAGGUUUUUAACUUAGGUUUGGGUGGCGGACGGGUGAGUAACGCGUAAAGAACUUGCCUCACAGCUAGGGACAACAUUUGGAAACGAAUGCUAAUACCUAAUAUUAUGAUAAUAGGGCAUCCUAUAAUUAUGAAAAGCUAAAUGCACUGUGAGAGAGCUUUGCGUCCCAUUAGCUAGUUGGAGAGGUAACGGCUCACCAAGGCGAUGAUGGGUAGCCGGCCUGAGAGGGUGAUCGGCCACAAGGGGACUGAGACACGGCCCUUACUCCUACGGGAGGCAGCAGUGGGGAAUAUUGGACAAUGGACCAAGAGUCUGAUCCAGCAAUUCUGUGUGCACGAUGAAGUUUUUCGGAAUGUAAAGUGCUUUCAGUUGGGAAGAAAGAAAUGACGGUACCAACAGAAGAAGUGACGGCUAAAUACGUG
rnacentral:rRNA from 1 species